rnacentral:tRNA from 4 species
GGGCGGUUAGCUCAGCGGGAGAGCACUGCCUUCACACGGCAGGGGUCGCUGGUUCAAUCCCAGCACCGCCCACCA